rnacentral:snoRNA from 1 species
CAGCCACGGCAAGGACCCCAGACCCAGGGUGGUCUCCAGGGCUCUUUUGCAGUAGGAGUGGCAACAGAGUUGGGGAGGCUGACAAGUGGGAGGCCUGCCUAGGCUCUCCCCGACCGCUGCCUUCCCCCACACCC